UACGUAGGGGGCAAGCGUUGUCCGGAUUCAUUGGGCGUAAAGAGCGUGUAGGCGGCCAGGUAGGUCGGCUGUGAAAACUGGAGGCUCAACCUUCAGAGGUCGACCGAAACCAUCUGGCUAGAGUCCGGGAGAGGAGAGUGGAAUUCCUGGUGUAGCGGUGAAAUGCGCAGAUAUCAGGAAGAACACCCUAGUGGCGAAAGGCAGCACUCUGGGACGGUACUGACGCUGAGACGCGAAAGCGUGGGGAGCGAACAGAUGAUGAACCCGGUAGUACCCGAGACCAA
rnacentral:rRNA from 1 species